rnacentral:rRNA from 1 species
GGAAUUUUGGACAAUGGACGCAAGUCUGAUCCAGCCAUUCCGCGUGCAGGACGAAGGCCUUCGGGUUGUAAACUGCUUUUGUACGGAACGAAAAAGCUCUUAUUAAUACUAGGAGUCCAUGACGGUACCGUAAGAAUAAGCACCGGCUAACUAUGUGCCAGCAGCCGCGGUAAUACAUAGGGUGCAAGCGUUGUCCGGAAUUAUUGGGCGUAAAGAGCUCGUAGGUGGUUUGAUACGUCGGGUGUGAAAUUCAGGGGCUCAACCCCUGACCUGCAUUCGAUACGGUCAAGCUAGAGUUUGGUAGGGGAGACUGGAAUUCCUGGUGUAGCGGUGGAAUGCGCAGAUAUCAGGAGGAACACCGAUGGCGAAGGCAGGUCUCUGGGCCAAUACUGACACUGAGGAGCGAAAGCGUGGGGAGCGAACAGGAUUAGAUACCCUGGUAGUCCACGCCGUAAACGGUGGGCGCUAGUUGUGCGAACCUUCCACGGUUUGUGCGACGCAGCUAACGCAUUAAGCGCCCCGCCUGGGGAGUACGAUCGCAAGAUUAAAACUCAAAGGAAUUGACGG